rnacentral:lncRNA from 1 species
UGAUGAAAAAAAUGAAAUUCAAACAAGGGCUAAAUAUAUCUUAAAUACUUUCCACUACCCAAUAAUCAAUAAGGGGAAAAAUCUAGAAAUGCUAAAGUUAAGCGUAAUCUAAGUUUGAGACUUGACCAUAGCCAACUCGUAAUUCAAACGUCCAUAUCCACGACUCCACAAUGAAGUCAUUUAUUUGAAAUAAUAGUUUCAUACAAGCAUGCUAAACAAAAUAGUUUCAUACGGGUUGUUUUGUUCAGCGACAAAACACCAUAGUUCCUAUAAUAGCUUAAUACAAUAUCAUAAUUCAGUGGUCCAUAAUAUGAUAAGGGAAGAUAGACUAUACACAUCAUCUGAUGCUUUGAUCAUUCUUCGGGAAAUCUUUUGAUUUCCACUAUUUCUCACAAAACAGUCAGCAUAAUAUGUUAGCCACUACCCAUGUCACAAUGGUUAAGGUUUACAUUCGCGAUAUCAAUAAAGGAACAGAGAAAGGAUUCUCCUCACCCAUGACUGGCUGGAACAAAUCCAACUCUCCAUACCGCUCCAGAACACGCAUUCUGCAGUCUUCAGCGGCCAUUAAUCCAGUGGAGUAUGCACCAUGGACAGACCCAGGGUAC